CACAGCUGCCCAAGGACUGACUUAUACUAAUUGCCAGGAACGUACGUGUUAAACUUGGUUUGGAAACUUCCCUCGGCGGUGGAGGCACUGCUUUACUGAGAAGUGACUCACAGGUUUAGCAGAAUUGUAAGGAAGAAGAAAUGUCAGCGAUCUCCAAGGUUUGAGAACUCCCUGCCUCAGAAUCACCUGGGAUGCUUGUUAGAAUGAAGAUUCCUGGCUCCACCACAGACCUGCUCACUUGGAAGCUCUUAAUGUAGGGCUCAAGAUCCUGCUUUGUAAAUAGCUCCUAAAAUGAUUCUGAGGCAUUAAAUAUAUGAAAAAAUGUUCUCAAU
ensembl:lncRNA